rnacentral:rRNA from 1 species
GAUGAACGCUGGCGGCGUGCCUAAUACAUGCAAGUCGAGCGAACAGACGAGGAGCUUGCUCCUCUGACGUUAGCGGCGGACGGGUGAGUAACACGUGGAUAACCUACCUAUAAGACUGGGAUAACUUCGGGAAACCGGAGCUAAUACCGGAUAAUAUAUUGAACCGCAUGGUUCAAUAGUGAAAGACGGUUUUGCUGUCACUUAUAGAUGGAUCCGCGCCGCAUUAGCGAGUUGGUAAGGUAACGGCUUAUCAAGGCGACGAUGCGUAGCCGACCUGAGAGGGUGAUCGGCCACACUGGAACUGAGACACGGUCCAGACUCCUACGGGAGGCAGCAGUAGGGAAUCUUCCGCAAUGGGCGAAAGCCUGACGGAGCAACGCCGCGUGAGUGAUGAAGGUCUUCGGAUCGUAAAACUCUGUUAUUAGGGAAGAACAAAUGUGUAAGUAACUAUGCCCGUCUUGACGGUACCUAAUCAGAAAGCCACGGCUAACUACGUG